UUCAGCUGUGGGGCCACAGAAGGCAGGACUCAGGGAUGGUCUCCACCAUGGCUUGGUGCCCUCUCCUGCUCACCCUCCUCGCUCACUGCACAGGAUCCUGGGCCCAGUCUGUGCUGACUCAGCCUCCCUCAGUGUCUGGGAACCUAGGACAGAGGGUCACCAUCUCCUGCACUGGAAGUAGCUCCAACCUUGGCAGUAAUUCUGUGUACUGGUACCAACAGCUCCCAGGAAAGGCCCCUAAACUCCUCAUCUAUUAUAGUAGCAAUCGACCCUCAGGGGUCCCUGAUCGAUUCUCUGGCUCCAAGUCCGGAACCUCAGGCUCCCUGACCAUCACUGGGCUCCAGGCUGAAGAUGAGGCUGAUUAUUACUGUGCAGCAUGGGACGAUAGUCUCAAUGGUCCCACAGUGCUGCAGGCCUGUGGGGAAGUGAGACAAGAACCCCUGUGCCAUCUGUGAGCUGGGCGAACACUA